CCAGAGUUACGGCAUUUCUGGUGCCCCCUCUUUGCUCAGUUCCCUGUUCUCUGUAUCUCUACCCCACAGGCUGAUUUAUGCCUUCAGAGCUCAGAGGGACACCCACAUCUGUUCAAACCCAACUCUCCAGGCCAUGGCUGGAUAUUAUCCCCAGGGGGAUUGCUGGGCAAUGGUGACCUCUGCAAAGGCCUCCCGUCCCCGGCUGCGGUGGGCUCUGGCCAAGGCCGGAAGCCGGGUGCCCAGAAGAUUCCUGCCUGCCUCCUGCCCUGUGGUUCCGGUGAGUGUCCUCCCCUCUCUGGGGUGCCUCGUGAGACCACCUGGGUCAGAAACCGCUGAGGGGACAGCUCCCAGGGCGGGGCCAGGUCCCCAGCAUGAAGGACCCCCGGCCAGGCCUGCACAGAGGGCUCCUGGCCAUGGCCUCCCGGGGGGAAGGGGGGUAGGAAGCCCCGAAGACCACGUAAAACCGUGUUUGGCAGGACGCCAGCUGCUCCAAGCGGAGCCUGAAGCCUCCCGCGCUCUCUCCAUGCUUUUCCUUCUUGCUUCUUGGUUUUACCAGCCUGAGAUAUGCUCAUGCCGUGGAAGAGCCGUGUCCUCACCUGCAGGCCGCGUCCCCGGGGCCCCUCUGCCACCUGCCCUUUGCCACUCCAGCCGGACGCCCCUGGGCUCGGCCCCUGACUGCGCCCUCGCUCUCCGGCCCUCCCGCCUGGGUGCCUGCAACAACACUCCUUCCCCCCGGCUAGGUGCCAUGGAGAGGCUCCCCCGGCUCCAAGUAACCCCUGCCGCACCCCACUUUUGUUGGCGCUCCUUUAUGACCGAAGACUCCGAGGCUUAGCGCGGCGUCCUACGCAUGGUCACCUGCCCCGAGCUGUUGGCCCGCGUGCAACGCCGCCAUCUGAGAUGUGCUGACUCGUGGCGCCCCGGGCGUCCUUCUGCCGCUGCCCGUGACCGAGCAAAGACGCUUUGAGGCUUGUAAGCUCGCCCAGGAACAGCAACAGGGCAACGUUCCGGGCUGACCCCGGCCAGGCGCAGGGCCGUGGGGGGGCAGCGCGGGGUGUUCUGACUGCCGGGUCCCUGCAAGGGUGCUGCCCGUGGCUUUCCACUUGGCACACGUAUUUGGGACCUGAACCCUGAGAAGUCAGCCGCCCGCGUGAAGGGACAGCUGCUAAGGCUCCAUGUCCGUGUUCUCCUAGACUUUGGGGCUGAAAACAACAUGAGUUUCUGAUUCCACAUUGUUCCUGAGCUCGGGAAUCUGGGGCGACUCAGCUGGGCCAUGCUAGCCCAAGU
rnacentral:lncRNA from 12 species